rnacentral:rRNA from 1 species
AGAGUUUGAUCCUGGCUCAGAUUGAACGCUGGCGGCAGGCCUAACACAUGCAAGUCGAGCGGUAGCACAGAGAGCUUGCUCUCGGGUGACGAGCGGCGGACGGGUGAGUAAUGUCUGGGAAACUGCCUGAUGGAGGGGGAUAACUACUGGAAACGGUAGCUAAUACCGCAUAACGUCGCAAGACCAAAGUGGGGGACCUUCGGGCCUCAUGCCAUCAGAUGUGCCCAGAUGGGAUUAGCUAGUAGGUGGGGUAAUGGCUCACCUAGGCGACGAUCCCUAGCUGGUCUGAGAGGAUGACCAGCCACACUGGAACUGAGACACGGUCCAGACUCCUACGGGAGGCAGCAGUGGGGAAUAUUGCACAAUGGGCGCAAGCCUGAUGCAGCCAUGCCGCGUGUAUGAAGAAGGCCUUCGGGUUGUAAAGUACUUUCAGCGAGGAGGAAGGCAUUAAGGUUAACAACCUUAGUGAUUGACGUUAUCGCAGAAGAAGCACCGGCU